CCAAAAUGAAAAUUCCUUCAUCAUUUACUCACCCUCAUGUCAUUCCAAAUUCCUUGUUCUGUGGAACAUAAAGUAAGAUAUUUUAGGGGAAGUCGUGGCCUAAUGGAUAGAGAGUUUGACUCCUAACCCUAAGGUUGUGGGUUCGAGACUCGGGCCAGCAAUAUUAAAUGGCUGCCCACUGCUCCGGGUGUGUGUUCACGGUGUGUGUGUUCAAUGCUGUGUGUGUGCACUUUGGAUGGGUUAAAAGCAGAGCACGUAUGGGUCACCAUACUUGGCUGUAUGUCACAUCACUGUCUCUGUCAAUGCAUGGACAAAAUGGCCAGAGGUUGGCUAAAUAAUGACAGAGCUUUAAGUUUUGGGUGAACUAUCCCUUUAAGAGGUAUGAAAAAAACUUAUAGAGAAGCCAAGGAAGGUGAAGGGCAGAAUAAAAACUAAAUUCAAACUACGCUACCUAAUGGUUAGGUGGAGUGCUGCCAGCUUCAAAAGUGAAUAAAUGUCUGAUAGUGAGUGCUGGCUGAGGGCCCAGGCCAAGGCACAGGCGCAAGGAGAGGCAGGGCUGCAGCAUGUAACCUCAGUCCUGUUUAUGUUCUAUAUUCUGACGGUGGGGAGGCCUUAAAUUGGAGCCAUGCUGCAGGGGAUUAGGCCUAUGAACCCUGGGAUGUGUGCGCAGGGAGAGGGUGACAGGGGAGGCGGGCAGACAUGUCCACAGGGCUGGGAAAAGUGCUACUCACACACACACAAACACACACUCACGGUAUCUUUCCACCCUUCUCUCGUUUUCUCUCUCCUUCCUUCUCUCUCUUUCUGGCAGAGAGGCCACAACCGAAGCCCUCCAUGUGUGGCGGAUGUUUUCCACGAGUAAGGCGGCCAGCUUGGCUGCAGCUGUCCAAACCGGAGGGCCUUGGGAAGGGGAGGAGAGGAGCGGAGUUCGGAGGGGUGGGGGACGGUGCACUUGGCAAAGGUCAGACAACCCAAGACAGCUUUGAGUGUGGGAACUGUCCGAGAAGCCAUGUGCGAAAUGCUCUGCGCUAUGGUAUCGUUUUUCUCCAAGGCUGCCUGAAGGGAGAAGCUCGGGGCAGGAAACUGAACACGGGCAGUGGGAAUUUAGGAACGCGCCCCAGGGAGGGUCUGACUGGCGAGACAGGAGAUCCAGUCCUGCUAGCAGCUGUGAGGGGUAUUAAGCUCUAAUGAGUUCAAGAGUAACACAGAUAAGCAGAGUUAUGGGGAAGCCCCCUUUGAUUUAUCAUCUUGACAUCUUUAUUAAUACAUUGUGUUUACAUUUAUCACACCAGUUUAUGUGGAUGGCCAAACUACUGAAAUAACUAACUGCAAAUAAAUACAAGCAAACAGCACACAUCCUCCCAGUUUAGGCUUUUGCUCUGACAGCUGUUAAGCCCAUCUUCGACCUUGUGUCACACAGCGAACAUGAGAAGCUGAGGUAAUGCUCUCUGAUGUCCGGAUUGUAGUCGUCCAGGGUUGAUCUGUUCCCACAGUCGCUUAACACAAGGCCCUUUACUUAGUCCUCCUUCUCCAGGCCGGUGAUUAUAUCCUGAGUAAUUGUAGGCCUUAGACUUUUCCAGACAAAUCAUAGUGCAUAUUUUAAAUCUCAUUAGCUCUGAAGGCUUUCUAGAAGGAGACCACAGCUGUAUAAAAAGUCCAACAAAUACUAUGCUAUCAUGACAGGGACUUCCAUUAGAGUCUAUGGUUUUUAUACUGAACUAAUGAUAUUUUCUAGCUGCUAACAUCAGGAUUAACCUAUAUAAUCCUUUUUAUAUUUUCAAAUUUUAAUAAGGUUAUUUUCAUAUGUUAAUUAGGCCAUUUGCAAUGGAUGACUGUUUUUUCUGCCUCGGAGCAAAACAAUAAAAGGUAACUGCAACUUGAUCUCGCAAUUUCUUAUAAUUGCAAAUUUAUCUCACAGUAUGACCUAUCUUGUUUAAACUUUAUCACUCAAUUACCAUUUUUAUUUUUUACUAUGAGAAAGAAACAGGCUCCCUUAGUUUUCCCAAAUUGUUUUGUCCCAUAGUUUUACUAUCCUAAAUAUAUGCAUAGUCACACACUCACAGGAAUCUUCCUCUGCAUUGUUCGUUUAGUAAUGACUUUCCAAUAUUUCAACACACUUUUGCCAACUAACUGUGAAGUGGGCCAGUUUUUAGAAGUGACCUGUUCAUAAGCCAAUGGAAAUGAGAAAUAUCAGUCUUGUUAACUCUUGUGACAUUUCCUAAGAUGUUUCAGCACGAUCAGUAAAACCAACCUGGUAUGUGAAACCAGAGGAGAUUCAUAUAAUUGCUGCUUAGUCUAAAUAGAUUUCAUUCAGACUAGGGUGUUAUAAAAACAAAUUUCAAAGACUGGUAAUUGUUUUAAGUAAUGUGUAAUGACCCAUUAAGGGGUGGAAAACUGCAUUAAUAUGAUAAGUCAUAUUAAUAAGUCAUACUACGAUACUGCAGGAAUAAUCAAAAAUGCACUUUUUUUUUCAAGACAAAAAACAAUAUGUGAUGUCACACAACCAUAAAAAGCUUGAUUAUGAGUUUGCAUGUCCUCUGCUAUGAUCUCAAAAUGCUUUCCUCAGUCCAAUGGUCCUUUUCUAAGAGGGGCUACAGAUUAACAGGGUGCAUUCCUGUGCAGGAAAAUCUCUUUGGAUUCAUUUCCAGAUCAGAGCAGCCAUCUGCACAGCCCCUGCCCUCUCAGGAAUUUGGAACUUUUUCCCAUCAAUGUAGCCAAUUAUAGAGCAGGUCCCUGUGUUUAUCACAGAGACUCUAACCUCAGGCACUGAAGGCAUAAAAGUCAUAUGAACAGAUUAUUAUUAUUAUUAUUAUUUUUUAUGAUCAGAUCUUUAAUCACCAUCCCUUAAUUGUUAUUGUGAAAAAAAAAAUAUAUAUAUUAAAUUUUUCUUUACCUUUUUCUAUUUCUUUCUUUCUUUUUUGUGAUUUAAACAAAGCCAAAAUAAAAUAAGAAAUCAGUUAAUUGCUAAGGUAAU
rnacentral:lncRNA from 1 species